rnacentral:rRNA from 1 species
GCGGCAUGCUUUACACAUGCAAGUCGAACGGUAACAGGGAGCUUGCUCCGCUGACGAGUGGCGAACGGGUGAGUAAUGCGUCGGAACGUGCCGAGUAGUGGGGGAUAACGCAUCGAAAGGUGUGCUAAUACCGCAUACGAACUGAGGUUGAAAGUGGGGGACCUUCGGGCCUCACGCUAUUCGAGCGGCCGACGUCUGAUUAGCUAGUUGGUGAGGUAAAGGCUCACCAAGGCGACGAUCUCUAGCUGGUUUGAGAGGAUGAUCAGCCAAACUGGAACUGAGACACGGUCCAGAAUCCUACGGGAGGCAGCAGUGGGGAAUAUUGGACAAUGGGCGCAAGCCUGAUCCAGCCAUGCCGCGUGUGUGAAGAAGGCCUUCGGGUUGUAAAGCACUUUCAGCGAGGAGGAAGGGUGGUGUGUUAAUAGCACAUCAUUUUGACGUUACUCGCAGAAGAAGCACCGGCUAACUCUGUGCCAGCCGCCGCCGUAACAC